UACAGAGGGUGCGAGCGUUAAUCGGAAUUACUGGGCGUAAAGCGCACGUAGGUGGCGACGUAAGUCGGGUGUGAAAGCCCCGGGCUCAACCUGGGAAUUGCAUUCGAGACUGCAUUGCUGGAGUACGGAAGAGGAAGGCGGAAUUCCCGGUGUAGCGGUGAAAUGCGUAGAUAUCGGGAGGAACAUCAGUGGCGAAGGCGGCCUUCUGGUCCAGUACUGAGACUCAAGUGCGAAAGCGUGGGGAGCAAACAGG
rnacentral:rRNA from 1 species